CCUACGGGGGGCUGCAGUGAGGAAUAUUGGUCAAUGGGCGAGAGCCUGAACCAGCCAUCCCGCGUGCAGGAUGACAGUCCUAGUGAUUGUAAACUGCUUUUCUAUAAGAUGAAUAAGGACUACGUGUAGUUCGAUGACCGUAUUAUAGGAAUAAGCAUCGGCUAACUCCGUGCCAGCAGCCGCGGUAAUACGGAGGAUGCAAGCGUUAUCCGGAUUUAUUAGGUUUAAAGGGUGCGUAGGUGGGCGUUUAAGUCAGUGGUUAAAGCCAAUAGCUUAACUAUUGUAUGCCAUUGAAACUGGAUGUCUUGAAUAGGGUAGAGGUAGGCGGAAUGUGUUGUGUAGCGGUGAAAUGCUUAGAUAUAACACAGAACACCGAUUGCGAAGGCAGCUUACUAUGCCUUUAUUGACACUGAUGCACGAAAGCGUGGGGAUCAAACAGGAUUAGAUACCCCGGUAGUC
rnacentral:rRNA from 1 species